UACGUAGGUGGCAAGCGUUGUCCGGAUUUACUGGGCGUAAAGCGCACGUAGGCGGCUUUGUAAGUUAGAGGUGAAAGCCCGGGGCUCAACUCCGGAAUUGCCUUUAAGACUGCAUCGCUAGAAUUGUGGAGAGGUAAGUGGAAUUCCGAGUGUAGAGGUGAAAUUCGUAGAUAUCAGGAGGAACACCGGUGGCGAAGGCGCACAUCUGGCCCAAUACUGACGCUGAGGCGCGAAAGCUAGGGGAGCAAAGCGGG
rnacentral:rRNA from 1 species